GAUGAACGCUGGCGGCGUGCCUAAUACAUGCAAGUCGAGCGAACAGAUGAGGAGCUUGCUCCUCUGACGUUAGCGGCGGACGGGUGAGUAACACGUGGAUAACCUACCUAUAAGACUGGGAUAACUUCGGGAAACCGGAGCUAAUACCGGAUAAUAUAUUGAACCGCAUGGUUCAAUAGUGAAAGACGGUUUUGCUGUCACUUAUAGAUGGAUCCGCGCCGCAUUAGCUAGUUGGUAAGGUAACGGCUUACCAAGGCAACGAUGCGUAGCCGACCUGAGAGGGUGAUCGGCCACACUGGGACUGAGACACGAUCCAGACUCCUACGGGAGGCAGCAGUAGGGAAUCUUCCGCAAUGGGCGAAAGCCUGACGGAGCAACGCCGCGUGAGUAAUGAAGGUCUUCGGAUCGUAGAACUCUGUUAUUAGGGAAGAACAAAUGUGUAAGUAACUAUGCACGUCUUGACGGUACCUAAUCAGAAAGCCACGGCUAACUACGUG
rnacentral:rRNA from 1 species